rnacentral:rRNA from 1 species
GACGAACGCUGGCGGCGUGCUUAACACAUGCAAGUCGAACGGACAGGCCCUGCUUUUGUGGGGUUCUCGAUAGCCGAACGCGGGAGUAACACGCGAGUAUCCUGCCCUUAACUGUCGGAUAACAUUACGAAACUGGGGCGAAUACCGGGGAUGAGCUCCUGCUGCAUGGUGGUGGUUGGAAAGUGUCGGCGGUUGGGGAUGGACUGGCGGCUUAUCAGCUGGUUGGGGGGGUAGGGGCUGUCCAAGGCUUUGACGGGUAGCCGGCCUGAGAGGGGGAACGGCCACAUUGGGACUGAGAUACGGACCAGAAUACUAAGGGAGGCAGUAGUGGGGAGUCUUGCAAAAUGGGCGGAAGCCUGAUGUAGCAACGAAGCGUGCGGGAUGCCGGCUUUCGAGUUGUGAACCGCUUUGGACUGUGACGAACAGUGAGUGACGGUAAUGGGUAAAGAAGCAACGGCUAACUACGUG